rnacentral:misc_RNA from 1 species
AGCAGCCGCGGUAAUUCCAGCUCCAAUAGCGUAUAUUAAAGUUGCUGCAGUUAAAAGCUCGUAGUUGAAUUUCGGGACUAAUAUGUCGGUCGUGCCUCGGUACGUACUGGUUUAUUGGUUUCUCCUUUCUGAAGAACCAUGAUGUCAUUUAUUUGGUGUCGUGGGGAAUCAGGACUGUUACUUUGAAAAAUUAGAGUGUUUAAAGCAGGCUCACGCUUGAAUACAUUAGCAUGGAAUAAUGAAAUAGGACGUUUGAUUCUAUUUUGUUGGUUUCUAGGAUCGACGUAAUGAUUAAUAGGGAUAGUUGGGGGCAUUAGUAUUCAAUUGUCAGAGGUGAAAUUCUUGGAUUUAUUGAAGACUAACUACUGCGAAAGCAUUUGCCAAGGAUGUUUUCAUUAAUCAAGAACGAAAGUUAGGGAUCGAAGACGAUCAGAUACCGUCGUAGUCUUAACCAUAAACUAUGCCGACUAGGGAUCGGAUGAUGUUAAUUUUUAAUGACUCAUUCGGCGCCUUACGGGUA